UGAUGAUGCAUGACGGCAGUGACACUUGGGUGGCGCUUCUUGGUCAACAACAAUAUGCGUUUAUGUAGCGCUUGCGAACAUCAACAAAAAUGGUCCAGAGCCACUGUUUGAGAAAAUAAGCAAUGAGUUCUCCUGUUGUUCUGGUUAGCCUUAAUCGUUAAGUAACAUUUUUUGACUUAUGCCGUGAUACAGCUCCACAGGCAUCAACAGCAAGCUGAUAUCUUGCUCAGGUAUCUAUCUUUCGAAUGUAAACACUGACAGUAUGUUUUGGAAGGCUAUUAAGCCAUUUUAGGGAUCACAGGUUUGCUUGAUCCUGUCAAUCACUAGGUUUUCCUACAGGUACAAUUCAAGCAGAUCAGAAGCACACUUUAUUUUCUUGUGCGUUACUCGAAAUCACAGAAACAAAGAAUAUUGCCCUCCACAACCACAGAGAUCGGGGUCGCCACCAAAGGGUGAACACAGGACCUGGCAUCUUAAUCAGUGACUGCUACAUUGGCGGAGGCAAUGUCGGUGAGGUAGGCCCAGUGGUGAAAGAUGCUGCCUGACGAUUAGCUGCUUGGUCAUUGGUUUGGUCCAGCGCUGGCGCUAGUGGAAGGACAUCACAGCAAUAUUGAUGAAGUGGGCCCAGUAGCAAGAGGUGCAACUUUGAUAUUGGUGGAUUUGGUGUAGGUGAUGGUAAGAUGGUGGUGGAGGAGAAUUGGCACAGUGUCACCUGAAGAGUGACAGCUUCAACAUUGGUUGGGCCCAGUGUUUACGGCAGUGGAGGAGUAAUGGUGGGACAGAUGUCAUUGAUGAUGAGCCAGUCUCUCUCGAUGAUAUUGGACUCUCUUUAAGCAAUACCUUUUUUUUCUAAUUCUUAAAGCUAUUCAAAAUGGUGCCAGAUCUUGGAAACAGUGGAAAAGUUUUUUCCACUUUUUCCCCUCACAGUAAAAUAUAAAUGACAAUAAAAUCAUUCUUUUAUUCACCCAAGUCAUCAGUAUGAAUCACUAUCAUAGAAUCCCUACAGUGUGGGAACAAGCCCUUUGGCCCAACAAGUCUACACCGACCCUCCAACGAGUAUCUCACCCAGACCCAUCCCUCUACCCUUUCCCUGUAUCGCUGCAUUUCCUGUGGCUAACACACUUAAUCUACGCAUCCCAGAACACUCCGGGUAAUUCAGCAUGACCAAUCUACCUGCCCUGCCCAUCUUUGGCCAGGGGGAAGAAACCAGAUCACCCAGUGGAAACCCAUGCAGACGUAGGGAGAAUGUACAAACUCCACACAGACAGUUGCCUGAGGGUGGAAUUGAACGCAGGUCUCCACCCCUGUGAGGCAACAGUGCUAACUACUAUGCUUCCUCUAAAGUUAAAUUACAAGGGCCUGAUAUGGAACGUUGUACUGUGGUUCAUGACUAACAUACACAUGAUGGGCUGAAGACAAAUUUAAUUGUUUUCAUUGUAGCACCUUGGUUAGAUUGUGGAUUAGGAUGCUCAUGAAUUUAGACCCUUUGAAGGGUUAAAGAAACAUCUUAAACCAUCAAAGCAGGGCUAGAAUUCCAAGGUAACAGUUUAACUCCAGGUGCAACUCUUCCUUGAGUUUCCCAAAUAUGCAAAUUUACCAUUAUUAUUUGCUGGAUCACAACAUCUUCACCUUCAACAACCAGUUCUUCAUCGAGACACAUGGAACGGCCAUGGGAACCAGAUUAGCACCCCAAUAUGGCAACAUUUUCAUGCACAGGUUCAGACAAGACUUCUUUGCAGCACAUAACCUCCAAACAACACUAUACAGCAGAUACAGUGACAACAUUUUCUUCCUUUGGACUCAUGGUGAGGAAUUACUGAAGAAAAUACAUUGUGAUAUCAACACGUUUCAUCCCAUCAUCAGAUUUACGGGGGACUACUGUUCAUCGCCAGUCUCAUUCUUGGACUUGCGCAUCUCCAUCAUCAGGUGGACAUCUCACUACCUCACUUUAACAUAGGCCUACGGAUAACCUCACAAUGCCACACUUCUCUAGCUUUCACCCGAAACAACAUAUUAAAACAGCCAUCCCCUACGGACAAGCCCUACACAAUCACAUGACCUGUUCGGAUGAGGUGGAACAGGACAGACAUAUAAAUUUGUUGGAGGAUGCCCUCAUUGGAACAGGAUACAAUGCUCAACUGAUCAAUCACCAGUUCCAACAUGCCACAACAAAAAACCAUAAUGACUUCCUCAGAAGACAGACAUGGAAUACGACCGAUAGGGUACCCUUUGUUGUCCAGUACUUCUGGGAGUGCAGAAACUAUGCUAUGUUCUUCGCAGCCUUCAACAUAAUAUCGAUGAUACUGAGCACCUUGUCAAGAUCUUCCCCAUGACUCCACUUCUCACCUUCAAACAAGCGCCAAACCUUAAACAGAUCAUUGGGCAGUAAACUACCCAGCCUUCAGGACAACAUCAACCACAACACUAUACAACUCUAACCCUAACCCUUUCGUGGCAACCUCUGCAAGACAUGUCAGUUCUUCAACAUGGGCACCUUCACACAUGGAAUACCACUCACAAUGCGCACAGCAGAUAAUGAUGUGACUCGGCCAAAGUUGUCUAGCUCAUAUGCUGCAGGAAAAAAAUUUCCAAGGCAUAGUAUAUUGGCAAAAUCAUGCAGACACUAUGACAACAGAUGAAUGGACACCAUGCAACAAUCUCCAAACAGGAGUGUUUCCUCCCAGUGGAGGAAUACUUCAGUGGUCAAGGACAGUCAGCCUCUAAUCUUCAGGUAAAAGUGCCCCAGAUACACAACAUAGAGUCGCUGAGCAGUGGCUGGUAGCCAAGUUCGGUACCCAUGAGGAUGGCCUCAAACUGGACCUUGGGUUCAUGUCACACUGCAGGUGAGCCCACAACAACACGCACACACAUGACCCUUUGAUUUUUUACCAAAAUUCUGUGUUCCAUGUACUGCUUUAUCACUUCACCUGAUGAAGUGGCUAUGCACC